AGUUUGAUCCUGGCUCAGAAUGAACGCUGGCGGCGUGCCUAACACAUGCAAGUCGAACGAGAAAGGUCGCAAGACUGAGUACAGUGGCGCACGGGUGAGUAAUACAUGGGAAUCUACCCCUUUGUGGAGAAUACCUUGAAGAAAUUCAGGUUAAUACUGCAUGAGCCCAGAGAUGGGGAAAGGUGGCCUCAAGCUACCGCGGAGGAUGAGCCUGUGUCCUAUUAGCUAGUUGGUAGGGUAAAAGCCUACCAAGGCAGAGAUGGGUAACCGGCCUUAGAGGGUGUCCGGUCACACUGGAACUGAAACACGGUCCAGACUCCUACGGGAGGCAGCAGUGGGGAAUAUUGCACAAUGGGCGAAAGCCUGAUGCAGCGACGCCGCGUGGAGGAUGAAGGUUUUCGGAUUGUAAACUCCUGUUAAGUGGGAAGAAAGACUGAUACCUAAUACGUAUCGGGGAUGACGGUACCACUAGAGGAGGCACCGGCAAACUUCGUGCCAGCAGCCGCGGUAAUACGAAGGGUGCAAGCGUUAUUCGGAAUCACUGGGCGUAAAGAGCGUGAAGGCGGUUUCUUAAGUCAACUGUUAAAGAGCUCGGCUUAACUGGGCGAAUGCGGGUGAUACUGGGAGACUAGAGUGCAGGAGAGAAAGGUAGAAUUCUCGGAGUAGCGGUAAAAUGCGUAGAUCUCGAGAGGAAUACCGGUUGCGAAGGCGGCCUUUUGGCCUGUUACUGACGCUAAAGCGCGAAAGCGUGGGGAGCAAACAGGAUUAGAUACCCUGGUAGUCCACGCCGUAAACGAUGAUCACUGGAUGUGGGCCUUGCUUAGCAAGGUCUGUGUCGAAGCUAACGCGUUAAGUGAUCCGCCUGGGAAAUACGAUCGCAAGAUUAAAACUCAAAGGAAUUGACGGGGGUCCGCACAAGCGGUGGAACAUGUGGUUUAAUUCGACACUACGCGAGGAACCUUACCUGGGUUUGACAUGUAACUGCUACUGGUAGAAAUAUUGGGUUCCGUAGCAAUACGGACGGUUACACAGGUGCUGCAUGGCUGUCGUCAGCUCGUGUCGUGAGACGUCGGGUUAAGUCCUUGAACGAGCGCAACCCUUGUCGUUAGUUGCUUGCCGUAAGGCGGCACUCUAGCGAGACUGCCUAGGAAACUAGGAGGAAGGUGGGGAUGACGUCAAGUCCUCAUGGCCCUUAUACCCAGGGCUACACACGUGUUACAAUGGCGAGAUACAAAGGGGUGCUAAGUCGCGAGAUGGAGCAAAUCCUAAAAACUCGUCUAAGUUCAGAUUGUAGUCUGCAACCUGACUACAUGAAGUUGAAAUCGCUAGUAAUCGUAUAUCAGAACGAUACGGUGAAUGCGUUCUCGGACCUUGUACACACCGCCCGUCACACCAUGAGAGCCGUCGGCACCCGAAACUAUUUUAGCUAACUGGGAAACCAGGGGCGGAUAGUGAAGGUGAAGAGGGUGAUUAGGGUGAAGUCGUAACAAGG
rnacentral:rRNA from 1 species